rnacentral:rRNA from 1 species
UACGAAGGGGGCUAGCGUUAUCCGGAUUUACUGGGUUUAAAGGGUGCGUAGGUGGGUAAGUAAGUCAGUGGUGAAAUCUUCGAGCUUAACUCGGAAACUGCCAUUGAUACUAUUUAUCUUGAAUACUUUGGAGGUAAGCGGAAUAUGUCAUGUAGCGGUGAAAUGCUUAGAUAUGACAUAGAACACCAAUUGCGAAGGCAGCUUACUACACAGUUAUUGACACUGAGGCACGAAAGCGUGGGGAUCAAACAGG